rnacentral:rRNA from 1 species
GGGCCCGCACAAGCAGUGGAGUAUGUGGUUUAAUUCGAAGCAACGCGAAGAACCUUACCAGGUCUUGACAUCGUGUGCAUAACAUAGAGAUAUGUGAAGUCCUUCGGGACACACAGACAGGUGGUGCAUGGUUGUCGUCAGCUCGUGUCGUGAGAUGUCGGGUUAAGUCCCUCAACGAGCGCAACCCUUAUUGAUAGUUGCUACGCAAGAGCACUCUAUCGAGACUGCCGUUGACAAAACGGAGGAAGGUGGGGAUGACGUCAAAUCAUCAUGCCCCUUAUGACCUGGGCUACACACGUACUACAAUGGUGACUAACAGAGGGAAGCAAGGCGGCGACGCGGAGCAAAACCCCAAAAGUCAUCUCAGUUCGGAUCGCAGGCUGCAACCCGCCUGCGUGAAGCUGGAAUUGCUAGUAAUCGCGGAUCAGAAUGCCGCGGUGAAUACGUUCCCGGGCCUU